AAAGCUUCCAAGCGUCCUGAGAACCAGGGACCCUUGGUUCCAUUCCGGGGUUGGUUUACCGGACAGUGACCAAAUAGGAGGGCUGCUCCUGCAUCUGGGGGCUGCUCCAGAAAUCCUGCCUGGUCCUGCCCCUCACGCUGCCUGUCUCGCUGCUCCCCACAUUUCCCUCUGCCGGAGCUGACCAGAAAAGGGGAUUUUGGACCCAAAGGAGUCCGGGACGAAGGAAAAGGGUGAUCAGAGUGAGAGGCGCUGGCAAUGGACUAGGAAGCUCGGCUGCCGCUGCUAUUGCUCCCCCCUGGGCUUCAGUGAGAGCCUUUCCCUGUCAAGCAAGAGGGGUGAGGAUCAUAUUUUUAUUUUGGAAAGUAAAAAGUGCUCCCAGGGUCGGUGAUUAUUAAGGGGAAAUCCCUGAAUAUACUCUCCAGCCAAGAAGGCAGGGCUGCCGGGGCUGCACAAGAAGAGGCAGCAGCCUCCUACAGCACCACUACAGGCACUGCGAGGACAUAACACCAGAGAGUGGCUCCUCUGCCCUCCGAAACGACAACUUUCCUACCAUCUUGGAGGCAGAGCAAAGGGGGGCCAGGGGGAAAAGUGCACUCUCUCCCUGAUAAAGUGCACAUUUCUACUUCUCACCUCUGGAAAAAAGUCCACACCGGCCGUCGACACCAGCGCCUGAGGGAGAAAGCAGGGAAGAAACUGAGGGUUCAUGAGAAACGUGUGCAUUUGCUCCAGGGGGGAAAAUGUUUCUGCAUCUUCUGAUGGGAAGAAAUCUUUACAAGACACAGGUUUUCCGGUGAUUAUUGUUUUCUCUUUUCUAUCUUAAUUUUUUUCCAUGUUAGUGAAAGUCGUAUUUUUUUUUUAAAGUCAGUAAUGAUUUUUGUCCAUUACAGGUUUAAGUUCUGUGGCUGGUGGACAGUUUAUAAAUCUGUACUUCAAGAGACUUCAUAGUUAUUUUGUCUAUUUAUUUUUGUUACUCUAUAUAUAAAUGUUUGUGUUUUCAUAUAUAAACAUACACAUAUGUCUGUAUUACGUAUUCUAAACUGAGAUUGCUGUAAGACAAUUGUAAAGAGAUGUCUUUUGUCUCCUCCUUGCAAAGCAAUGUAAAUAAAACCUAUUGACUGUCCAGAAAGGCAUAAUACAGCUAUUUAUUUUUCACAGUGCAAAUAAAAGCAGACAUCACUGGAGGUUUAAAUCCAACCCCAGUGUAUAACUGACCAUGUUUCUGGAAAUAAUCCUAAUUCUGUUGUGGUCUGCCCAUGAAGGAAGAAUACUGUAAACCUGGAAAUAGAUUUUUAAACUCAGCUUUAGGUUUCUUAAGGAAAAUUAUUAAGAUUGAUAGGUGGUCAUUUCGUUUUUAUCUAUCUAGAGUCCUUAAAGUUUAGGUCUUUGUAUUACAUAUGUUGCUGUCUGCAUCCUGUAUCACAGAAUUGAGAAAUCUGUUAUUUUUGUUAAAGUUGAAAUGUUAGUUCAGAACUUUAACUGUGUUGCCGGUCUGUAUGAAUGAGUUUUCAUAUAUUACAACGAAUGUCAUGAAGCUGUUGUUUUUUUUUUUGUUUUUGUUUUUGUUUUUUUAAUGAACAAAGCAUGGUAGGUUAAUAGGAUGAAAAAUAAACAAUAUUGAGGUAGUGCAAAAGUGAUAGAAGGGCAUUGCCUAUUUGCAUCAGUUCCAAGAGAAUUCUUAUUGGAGAAAAAUGAAUUAUACAGACUUUUUCCAUUUUUGUGAAGAGAGAGAAGAAUGGUAGAAAAUGACCAGACUGUCUUUAUGUAUGUUCUACAGGGAAUGAGGAAUGGAAUUUUGUACUAAAAGAUAUUUUUUCUAACACAUGUUGGCUAACCUCAUGGGAAUGAAUUUGUAGUAUUAGUGCCUUGGAUCAGUAGUAAGUAACUUAUGACUCCACAUAAAAAUGUCUAUUUUUUGAGCUCCCGAAUUCAGAAAUUGUUAUAUAACUUUAAGGUGAGUUCAGUUAAUGCACAUAUCAGGUAUUCACUCUGCCUUGCUGAACCCCAUCUUUAUUAUCUAAAUUUGAAUAUAAUACCUGAAUAUCCGAAUUAUUUUUGUGGUUUUUGCCUCCCUCUUUAAUAGGGAAAAAAAAAAAAGUAAGUAAAAUUAACUGGUUUAUUUAUUUAUUUAGUUGUUUAUUGUACUGGGGAUUGAAACCAGGGUGCUUUACCACUGAGCCACAUCCCCAGCCCUUUUUAUUUUUUAUUUUGAGAUAGGGCCUUGCUAAAUUGCUGAGACUGGUUUGGAACUUUGGGUCCUCCUGCCUCUGCCUCCAGAGCCACUGCCAACUUAACUGGUUCUUAACAUCUUUGAAGCCUCAGUUGUGAACUUUGCUUUACUUAUUUGUUUUUAACAUUUGGAGAUAAACACAGUGGUCAUUGCAAGGAAACUAUUUCCCUUUACUUAGACCUCUAGUGAACUUGAAAACCAUGUUUGCUAAAAGCUUGUUUUUCCUUAUAUAUGAUAUAACUUUAUAGAUGAUGUUUUCAGUGUUUCAAGAAAUUCAGAUGUAUUUGUUUGCCUUAAGCUGGCUGUAUCUUUUUAUGCAAUCCCUUUUGUCACCCAAGAGACAUGUGCUUGCAUGAUGUCUAUCAGGCUAAUACUGUACUUGUAUAAUCACAGGAUUUCAGUGCUUUCUCUUUAUAAAGGUUGACUUGUA